CACCAGGCUGUGAAGGAUCCACAGACUGGCAUAUGCAGGAGGAAAUGGGGCGGGCGAGGGGUAAGGACCCCACAAAGCAGGGGCAGGGAAGGGCCCUCCCAGCGCCCCACUGGAACAGGGGCCUUAUCAAUGCCCCGUGCUCACUGAAUAAAGCGCUGCCAGCGAAAGGUGAAAAGAGGAACAAAGAACAUUCUCCUGGACGCCACCCACAGAAAGCCGUGUGUAGGCUUGGCCCUCACCUUGGGGACCUUGGACACGGAGCUGGUUAUGUCACAUCUGGCUCUCAGAGCUGGGGGCAGCGUCUAGGAGGCCUGAUGUAGAAGGCGUUCGGCUAAGCCCUAGUUACCCGCACAUGGGCACCAGCGCCCCCUCUCAGCAAACUCCACGUUUUAUGAAAUUAGGACUGGAAUUCCACUUUAUUUUGAAAAUAUGGCCAAGCUGGAGAACCCCUUCUUUAAGCAAAAGAUGGCACGGACCCCCGACAUAAGACAGUUCAAAGCUGAGCAGCUCUCCCCAUCGUGCAAGUAACCUGCGUGCCGCUAAGGGGAACGGCACGCAUCCCAUCUGGACUCCCACCGGACAACUGAGGCAACUGAGAAGGAGGCUGGGGAGGGGAGGGACAGCUCGAGGGCUCACUGGAGGUCAGCAGGGAGGUGGACUGCGUCUCCCGAGGGCCAGCACUGGCUCAGCCUGCUCAGCGAGGUGCCCGAAGGAGGCCCACCAGCUCUGCCAGCACCCGGCCUCUGCACCUCAGCUUUCAGCGGAUAGGUUUGUGCAACGAAAUAUUUCAUAGAAAUCAAGAAACAUGAGUGAACGAUGCACACCACUGCGUGGAUGAGUCUCAGAGACUGUGGAGCGAAAGAAGCCAGACACAAAGGUUGACAUUUACAUGCAAUCCUAGAAUGAUGGAUCUAUGGUGGCAGAGAGGAGAAAAGCAGUUAGCUUUGGCAGGUGCCCAUGGAGGGGGCUAUGCAAUGGAACUUUCUGGGCCCUGGAGGUGUUGUAUAGUUUGCUAUGUAUGGGUGGUAGUUACGUGGGUUUCUAUGAAUGUAAAAACUCUUGGUGUGGUAGACCCAAGCUCUGGGCACCUCAUGCAUGCCGUGCAGCAGCUCGAUCUGUGACAGCAAGUCCUGUGUUCCAUGAUAUGGCUGCGAACACUUGAGUCAGUGAAUGCCAAACCUCUGCUCCUAAGGGAAAUAGAGGGCCAGGUUCCUAUGAGCCUCUGCUCCAGCCUUUUCAGCAACCAAUCAGUACACAAUAGAGUUAUUUAUGUGUUUCUGUUAAUAUAUGUCACUAAACUCCCGGCCAAGAGCA